rnacentral:rRNA from 1 species
CAGCCGCCGCGGUAAUACAGAGGGUGCGAGCGUUAAUCGGAUUUACUGGGCGUAAAGCGUGCGUAGGCGGCUUCUUAAGUCGGAUGUGAAAUCCCUGAGCUUAACUUAGGAAUUGCAUUCGAUACUGGGAAGCUAGAGUAUGGGAGAGGAUGGUAGAAUUCCAGGUGUAGCGGUGAAAUGCGUAGAGAUCUGGAGGAAUACCGAUGGCGAAGGCAGCCAUCUGGCCUAAUACUGACGCUGAGGUACGAUAGCAUGGGGAGCAAACAGGAUUAGAUACCCGGGUAGUCCCUGUCUCUUAUAC